rnacentral:tRNA from 1 species
ACUAUUUUGGCAGAAUACUUGAUGCGUUAGAAUUAGAAUCUAAUAAUAUGAUAAUAUAAAUAUAUCAUAAAUAGUA